AUGUGGAUUAUUCAAACGUUCACACCAGGACGACGAAAUAUAUAUAAGCUUAGAGUUUCCUGUAGCAAACCCUAUCUCCCACACCUCUCUUCCUCCUCCUCUCUCCUCUCAUCUCUUUUUAUCUUUCCUUAUUUUCUGUCUUUUUCUUAAUGCACGCAGCAAAGCUAAACAAAUUUGAAUCAGAUCCUGACUCAUAUAUAACAUCAAAGUACUAAUAGCUAGACAAAGUGGAUCUAAAACAUGGGAAGAGGCCACUGGCUUCGGUUGAAUCGGAGGAGAAAGAGGAAGAUCAAAUAUUUCCUGUUUACUCAGCUCGAUCUCAGCAAGACACUUCUGCCAUGGUUCAGCUCUAGCUCAGGUGAUCGGAAAUAAUAGUGACCAAAUUAAUAACCCACUUGAUCAAGUGCAAGGAAUAAGUUCGUUAAUCACCUCACAGUCUAGCCCUACCGAGACUCAAUCUCAACCAGUACUACUUCAAGAUCAAGGGAAUUUGAGGAGACAACACUAUAGAGGAGUGAGGCGGAGACCAUGGGGAAAGUGGGCGGCGGAGAUUCGUGAUCCGAUUAAGGCAGCCCGAGUGUGGCUCGGCACUUUCAACACAGCCGAGGCUGCAGCUCUAGCUUAUGAUGGAGCUGCUCUCAGGUUCAAAGGAAGCAAAGCUAAGCUCAACUUCCCCGAAAGAGUAGUUCAAGGGAGCUCUGAGUCAGGUUGUCUCACAAUAACUACUCAAUUACAACACAGCUUGAACAAUAUUCCUCCUGAGGCUAAUAUUUCUCGACCAACAUAUUCCAAUGUUUUCGAUUAUGCACGAUAUAAUAAUGUCACAUCUACAUCGUCGUCCUCCAUGCCAUCUCAACAAGCCGCAGAGCUCCGAAGCUUUUCGAUGCAGUUUGGUUCUUCUUCAAGUUCGAGUUCGGGUCCUCCUUAUAAGUAUAGGAAAGACUUUGACAGAAGUCACUCAAGAUGAUGAAUAGUGAACUAAUCACUAGGGUGAACGCUUGGAGAGACUGAACGAUUAAGGAGAGUAAAUGGCUCAUAUAAUUUUGAUGCAUGUGUGUUUUUCUUUCGUUUUUUUAUUUUUGUUUAAUUUCUUCUGGACGAAAACAACUUUCAGUUUUUAUCACAGUUUACUUCAGUUUGUAUUUGAUGAGGACUUAUUUGACAAGAAGCUAUAUAAAUUUCCCAUGCAUGUGUGUGCAACCUUACAUAUGGGAAAUGAUUUUUGC
rnacentral:sRNA from 1 species